rnacentral:misc_RNA from 1 species
GAAAUGCGAUAAGUAAUGUGAAUUGCAGAAUUCAGUGAAUCAUCGAAUCUUUGAACGCACCUUGCGCUCCUUGGUAUUCCUUGGAGCAUGUCUGUUUGAGUUUCAUGAAAUCUUCAAAGUAAAUCUUUUGUUAACUCAAUUGGUUUCUACUUUGGUAUUGGAGGUCUUUGCAGCUUCACACCUGCUCCUCUUUGUUCAUUAGCUGGAUCUCAGUGUUAUGCUUGGUUCCACUCGGCGUGAUAAGUUAUCUAUCGCUGAGGACACUGUAAAAGGUGGCCAAGGUAAAUGCAGAUGAACCGCUUCUAAUAGUCCAUUGACUUGGACAAUACUUUUAUGAUCUGAUCUCAAAUCAGGUAGGACUACCCGCUGAACUUAAGC